AACGAACGCUGGCGGCAUGCCUAACACACGCAAGUCGAACGAACCCUUCGGGGUUAGUGGCGCACGGGUGCGUAACGCGUGGGGAUCUGCCCUUUGCUUCGGAAUAACAGUUAGAAAUGACUGCUAAUACCGGAUGAUGUCGCAAGACCAAAGAUUUAUCGGCAAAGGAUGAGCCCGCGUAGGAUUAGCUAGUUGGUGGGGUAAUGGCCCACCAAGGCGACGAUCCUUAGCUGGUCUGAGAGGAUGAUCAGCCACACUGGGACUGAGACACGGCCCAGACUCCUACGGGAGGCAGCAGUGGGGAAUAUUGGACAAUGGGCGAAAGCCUGAUCCAGCAAUGCCGCGUGAGUGAUGAAGGCCUUAGGGUUGUAAAGCUCUUUUACCCGGGAUGAUAAUGACAGUACCGGGAGAAUAAGCUCCGGCUAACUUCGUGCCAGCAGCCGCAGUAA
rnacentral:rRNA from 1 species